UUAAGCGACUAAGCGUACACGGUGGAUGCCCUGGCAGUCAGAGGCGAUGAAGGACGUGCUAAUCUGCGAUAAGCGUCGGUAAGGUGAUAUGAACCGUUAUAACCGGCGAUUUCCGAAUGGGGAAACCCAGUGUGUUUCGACACACUAUCAUUAACUGAAUCCAUAGGUUAAUGAGGCGAACCGGGGGAACUGAAACAUCUAAGUACCCCGAGGAAAAGAAAUCAACCGAGAUUCCCCCAGUAGCGGCGAGCGAACGGGGAGCAGCCCAGAGCCUGAAUCAGUGUGUGUGUUAGUGGAAGCGUCUGGAAAGGCGCGCGAUACAGGGUGACAGCCCCGUACACAAAAAUGCACAUGCUGUGAGCUCGAUGAGUAGGGCGGGACACGUGGUAUCCUGUCUGAAUAUGGGGGGACCAUCCUCCAAGGCUAAAUACUCCUGACUGACCGAUAGUGAACCAGUACCGUGAGGGAAAGGCGAAAAGAACCCCGGCGAGGGGAGUGAAAAAGAACCUGAAACCGUGUACGUACAAGCAGUGGGAGCACGCUUAGGCGUGUGACUGCGUACCUUUUGUAUAAUGGGUCAGCGACUUAUAUUCUGUAGCAAGGUUAACCGAAUAGGGGAGCCGAAGGGAAACCGAGUCUUAACUGGGCGUUAAGUUGCAGGGUAUAGACCCGAAACCCGGUGAUCUAGCCAUGGGCAGGUUGAAGGUUGGGUAACACUAACUGGAGGACCGAACCGACUAAUGUUGAAAAAUUAGCGGAUGACUUGUGGCUGGGGGUGAAAGGCCAAUCAAACCGGGAGAUAGCUGGUUCUCCCCGAAAGCUAUUUAGGUAGCGCCUCGUGAAUUCAUCUCCGGGGGUAGAGCACUGUUUCGGCAAGGGGGUCAUCCCGACUUACCAACCCGAUGCAAACUGCGAAUACCGGAGAAUGUUAUCACGGGAGACACACGGCGGGUGCUAACGUCCGUCGUGAAGAGGGAAACAACCCAGACCGCCAGCUAAGGUCCCAAAGUCAUGGUUAAGUGGGAAACGAUGUGGGAAGGCCCAGACAGCCAGGAUGUUGGCUUAGAAGCAGCCAUCAUUUAAAGAAAGCGUAAUAGCUCACUGGUCGAGUCGGCCUGCGCGGAAGAUGUAACGGGGCUAAACCAUGCACCGAAGCUGCGGCAGCGACACUAUGUGUUGUUGGGUAGGGGAGCGUUCUGUAAGCCUGUGAAGGUGUGCUGUGAGGCAUGCUGGAGGUAUCAGAAGUGCGAAUGCUGACAUAAGUAACGAUAAAGCGGGUGAAAAGCCCGCUCGCCGGAAGACCAAGGGUUCCUGUCCAACGUUAAUCGGGGCAGGGUGAGUCGACCCCUAAGGCGAGGCCGAAAGGCGUAGUCGAUGGGAAACAGGUUAAUAUUCCUGUACUUGGUGUUACUGCGAAGGGGGGACGGAGAAGGCUAUGUUGGCCGGGCGACGGUUGUCCCGGUUUAAGCGUGUAGGCUGGUUUUCCAGGCAAAUCCGGAAAAUCAAGGCUGAGGCGUGAUGACGAGGCACUACGGUGCUGAAGCAACAAAUGCCCUGCUUCCAGGAAAAGCCUCUAAGCAUCAGGUAACAUCAAAUCGUACCCCAAACCGACACAGGUGGUCAGGUAGAGAAUACCAAGGCGCUUGAGAGAACUCGGGUGAAGGAACUAGGCAAAAUGGUGCCGUAACUUCGGGAGAAGGCACGCUGAUAUGUAGGUGAAGCGACUUGCUCGUGGAGCUGAAAUCAGUCGAAGAUACCAGCUGGCUGCAACUGUUUAUUAAAAACACAGCACUGUGCAAACACGAAAGUGGACGUAUACGGUGUGACGCCUGCCCGGUGCCGGAAGGUUAAUUGAUGGGGUCAGCGCAAGCGAAGCUCUUGAUCGAAGCCCCGGUAAACGGCGGCCGUAACUAUAACGGUCCUAAGGUAGCGAAAUUCCUUGUCGGGUAAGUUCCGACCUGCACGAAUGGCGUAAUGAUGGCCAGGCUGUCUCCACCCGAGACUCAGUGAAAUUGAACUCGCUGUGAAGAUGCAGUGUACCCGCGGCAAGACGGAAAGACCCCGUGAACCUUUACUAUAGCUUGACACUGAACAUUGAGCCUUGAUGUGUAGGAUAGGUGGGAGGCUUUGAAGUGUGGACGCCAGUCUGCAUGGAGCCGACCUUGAAAUACCACCCUUUAAUGUUUGAUGUUCUAACGUGGACCCGUGAUCCGGGUUGCGGACAGUGUCUGGUGGGUAGUUUGACUGGGGCGGUCUCCUCCUAAAGAGUAACGGAGGAGCACGAAGGUUGGCUAAUCCUGGUCGGACAUCAGGAGGUUAGUGCAAUGGCAUAAGCCAGCUUGACUGCGAGCGUGACGGCGCGAGCAGGUGCGAAAGCAGGUCAUAGUGAUCCGGUGGUUCUGAAUGGAAGGGCCAUCGCUCAACGGAUAAAAGGUACUCCGGGGAUAACAGGCUGAUACCGCCCAAGAGUUCAUAUCGACGGCGGUGUUUGGCACCUCGAUGUCGGCUCAUCACAUCCUGGGGCUGAAGUAGGUCCCAAGGGUAUGGCUGUUCGCCAUUUAAAGUGGUACGCGAGCUGGGUUUAGAACGUCGUGAGACAGUUCGGUCCCUAUCUGCCGUGGGCGCUGGAGAACUGAGGGGGGCUGCUCCUAGUACGAGAGGACCGGAGUGGACGCAUCACUGGUGUUCGGGUUGUCAUGCCAAUGGCACUGCCCGGUAGCUAAAUGCGGAAGAGAUAAGUGCUGAAAGCAUCUAAGCACGAAACUUGCCCCGAGAUGAGUUCUCCCUGACUCCUUGAGAGUCCUGAAGGAACGUUGAAGACGACGACGUUGAUAGGCCGGGUGUGUAAGCGCAGCGAUGCGUUGAGCUAACCGGUACUAAUGAACCGUGAGGCUUAACCUU
rnacentral:rRNA from 1 species